CAACCAGUUGUCCAUGGCCUAACCACACAAGCAGUGAUGCAUUGCAGUGACAAAGUCUGCCUCUUUUCCUUGGACAACUUGGCCUGACAAUUACAUCUCUGUGACAUUUACAUCGAAAGUGAGACGUUUCAGAGGCGGGAAAGUGAGGCAAUGUAAAAUGGACUACAGACUCACAGAGCUGCUAGCAUGACUUACUGAGCAAAAUCUUUUUGUCUUGUGAGAACCACAAACAACAUCCCUUAAUUUGGUUUGGGGUCACAGCAGAGUGUCAGGGAUGAUGAGGCAGAAGGUUCUGGUAUUUGCACACAGCUGUGGAUACUCCAGGUGUCCAGGUCUUGAAUGGAGCCACAGAGGUGGAAGAAUACACAAUCAUCUAGU